AGGACGAACGCUGGCGGCGUGCUUAACACAUGCAAGUCGAGCGGUAAGGCCUUUCGGGGUACACGAGCGGCGAACGGGUGAGUAACACGUGGGUGAUCUGCCCUGCACUUCGGGAUAAGCCUGGGAAACUGGGUCUAAUACCGGAUAUGACCUCCUAUCGCAUGGUGGGUGGUGGAAAGAUUUAUCGGUGCAGGAUGGGCCCGCGGCCUAUCAGCUUGUUGGUGGGUAAUGGCCUACAAGGCGACGACGGGUA
rnacentral:rRNA from 1 species